UCUUGGUCAUUUAGAGGAAGUAAAAGUCGUAACAAGGUUUCCGUAGGUGAACCUGCGGAAGGAUCAUUAACGAAUCAAAAGUCGGUCGACCGUGCUGGCGGAAACGCAUGUGCACGUCGGUCGCAAACCAAUCCACACACCUGUGAACGUAUGGCCUUUCGGGUCUCUCGACUCGGGGGCAACCCAUUUUUUACCCACUCUGAUCGUAAAGGAAUGUCUUUGCCUAAAGCGCAAAAGCAAACAACUUUCAACAACGGAUCUCUUGGCUCUCGCAUCGAUGAAGAACGCAGCGAAAUGCGAUAAGUAAUGUGAAUUGCAGAAUUCAGUGAAUCAUCGAAUCUUCGAACGCACCUUGCACCCUUUGGUAUUCCGAAGGGUACGCCCGUUUGAGUGUCAUUGUAAUCUCACCCCUGGAAUUUAUUUUCUGGGAGUGGACUUGGAUGCUGCCGUGUCACGGCUCGUCUGGAAUGUCUCAGUGUGCCCCGCCCGUCGGUGUUAACAGUGUGAUAGAUAUCUUCACUGGUUGCCUCUCCGGAGGCGCGCUCUCGGAUGGAUCGUGUGCUGCCAACCGUCUUCGGACAAUACUCUGACAGUUUGACCUCAAAUCGGGUGGGACUACCCGCUGAACUUAAGCAUAUCAAUAA
rnacentral:rRNA from 1 species